CAGAGGGGGCAAGCGUUGUUCGGAAUUACUGGGCGUAAAGGGCGCGUAGGCGGCCUGCUAAGUCGAACGUGAAAUCCCUGGGCUCAACCCAGGAACUGCGUCCGAUACUGGUUGGCUUGAAUCCGGGAGAGGGAUGUGGAAUUCCAGGUGUAGCGGUGAAAUGCGUAGAUAUCUGGAGGAACACCGGUGGCGAAGGCGUCAUCCUGGACCGGCAUUGACGCUGAGGCGCGAAAGCCAGGGGAGCAAACGGGAUUAGAUACCCCGGUAGUCCUGGCCCUAAACGAUGAAUGCUUGGUGUGGCGGGUAUCGAUCCCUGCCGUGCCGAAGCUAACGCAUUAAGCAUUCCGCCUGGGGAGUACGGUCGCAAGGCUG
rnacentral:rRNA from 1 species